AGCAGCCGCGGUAAUUCCAGCUCCAAUAGCGUAUAUUAAAGUUGUUGCAGUUAAAAAGCUCGUAGUUGAAUUUCGGGAUCAAUAUAUCGGUCGUGCCAUUGGUACGUACUGGUAUCAUUGGUUUCUCCUUUCUGACGAACCAUGAUGUCAUUAAUUUGGUGUUAUGGGAAGUUAGGACUGUUACUUUGAAAAAAUUAGAGUGUUUAAAGCAGGCUUUAGCUUGAAUACAUUAGCAUGGAAUAAUGAAAUAGGACGUUCGAACCUAUUUUGUUGGUUUCUAGGAUCAACGUAAUGAUUAAUAGGGAUAGUUGGGGGCAUUAGUGAUUCAAUUGUCAGAGGUGAAAUUCUUGGAUUUAUUGGAAGACUAACUACUGCGAAAGCAUUUGCCAAGGAUGUUUUCAUUAAUCAAGAACGAAAGUUAGGGGAUCGAAGACGAUCAGAUACCGUCGUAGUCUUAACCAUAAACUAUGCCGACUAGGGAUCGGAUGAUGUUAAUUUUUUUAAUUGACUCAUUCGGCGC
rnacentral:rRNA from 1 species